rnacentral:rRNA from 1 species
UACGAAGGGGGCUAGCGUUGCUCGGAAUCACUGGGCGUAAAGCGCACGUAGGCGGACUCUUAAGUCGGUGGUGAAAUCCUGGAGCUCAACUCCAGAACUGCCUUCGAUACUGGGAGUCUCGAGUUCGGGAGAGGUGAGUGGAACUGCGAGUGUAGAGGUGAAAUUCGUAGAUAUCGGGAGGAACACCGGUGGCGAAGGCGGCGACCUGGGUCGAGACUGACGCUAAUACGCGAAAGCGUGGGGAGCAAACAGG